ACAUUAUAGUUACAAAGGCUCAUUGGCAAACAUUGGCUGGAGAAACCGUAAUGUGAUACCCAGCUAGUCCAAUAUUUCCUUCGACCCAAUCCAAAAGACCUAAGCCCAUAAGGCCAGCCCCAAGCCUUCCACGAACGACCUCCAUUUUCUUCUUCCCACCUGUAACCCAACAAGGGGGAGGAGUUUAGUACAAAGAGAGGAGAGUGGCAAUCUAGAGAGAGAAAGAGAGAGAAUAGUAAAAAUAUACUGGUGGGAACAGUGAGAUCAAAGAAAGCUGGGGGAGGGUGAACAACAAGUAGAUUGACCAAAGCACCAUCACUAACGCGAGGGCGUAGGGAGAGGAAGGAGAGACACUACGUUGAAUCAUCAUUACACAGAUCCGAGAGAUCAUGUAAAACAGGAAGAUGGCCUCGAAUCAGUCCACAUAAUCCCGGAAGCAUAGAGAGAGAGGAAAUUAAAGUUUUAUGGAAGUGAGGGGUGAUAGAGUUUCAUACAGUACACAGGAAUGUAAAAUACAAAACAGCUGAAACAGAAAAAGGAAAAUAGAGGGAGGCAGUAGGCGAACUAGUGAAAGGUCAUAUUUCAGUGGGUAGGAUUUGGAAUAUGCUAUGAUUGUAUAAGCAUACUUUUCAAACUAUUGCUUAUGUUCAUCACAUAUAUUUUUCGAUAGGAAUGUCAUAAAUAGCCAUAUGUCGAUGUUCA